ACCAGAGUACACAUUGGAGGAGAUCAACUUACUAGAGAACAUUUUUCAGGAGCAAAGAGACUUCGAAAAGAUGCUGUUAGUGGAGAGGAUGGUUUUGAGCACCUCUCUCCCAUUACGUUUGAACUUUUCCAUUUUUGACCAUUGCAAAGAACUUGCAGUGUCUUUAAUAGGCAGUUACAUAGUGUCUGCAGCUCUGGAGUAUUUAGGGAUGGACAAACUGGAUUAUGUGCCAAUCAAACAUUUUAUACCAAGUUUGGAUGAAUUAUUAUAAGUGAAUAUGAGAAGAAGAUGUCUCUUGUGCAUUCAUUAGAAAAUUUCAUUGAUGCAUACAUUAUAAAAGAUUCAAAAGAUUUACUCCAGGAGCAAUCUUCUACUGUACAGUUUAUUCAAAUACAGGUACAAAUGCCAAAUGGAAGUCCAGUGAAUAUUCAGCUGCCUCUUUUGACAAAAUCUGAGCAUAUGCAAGCUUCACCAGAUCAUAUCAUGAACUAUGCACUUUGAAUCUUAGAACUAGGACUUGCAUUUAAAGGCCUUCAAAACAAUAUUAAAAUUCCGAAUAGAGACAGGUUUAUACCACUCAUGAAGCACUUAAUGUAUAUUCUAAAGGGCCACAAUGAUAAUUCCAAGUAUGCACUUGAAAUUUUGCGCUUCUUGGUCCAGCAGCAGUGCACAUUUGAUGAGAAGACAGCUUACCAGUCUUUUUUAUGGUCUCUUUGUCAACAAUUAUAAAGAAAAGUUUGAUUCUUCAAUUCCUGCAGACCUACAGAUGGAACACAUUGUGAGACAAAUUAAAGGUCACUUGAAAGCUGUCCAUUCAAAUAAACAGACACUGCCAUUGCAAAGAGAACAGCUGCCUUUGCUGGCAUGAAAAACAUAUCAGCAUCUUUUGAUGAUUCCUCUGAUGUUAUUGUACGUUCUCAGAAGCACAAAAUUGUUUUUUCACACUCUGAUGAAUGCAUGAUUAUCAGUGACUUACAGAAGCUUAAACCUUUCCACUUUAAAGAUGGACGAAAGUUACAAUCAUUUCCCAAACCUGUCCAGAGUCCCUUGAGUCAUCUCAAUAUGCAGAAAUUGAAGUCAUGGAUUCGUGAACACCAGUACAACCUUCACCAUGAAGUAAGAAAUUAAGAUCUGAGGAAGUCACAAAGGAAGUUAAUGCAGAUCUGAGAACAGACUUGUCUAUCUCCGAAUCCUUUUCAGCUGACUCAGAAGAGGGGCAAGAAUCCUCACAUACAUCACAACAAUUUUGAACAACAGCAGUAGAUUCUGUAAAUCCAAAGUGGGACUUAGAAAAAAACUCGCCUACAAAGUGUGUCAUUCCUGCAAUACUCCUUAAUUUCCUUUGAAAUGUUUAGACACCCCAAGUCACUGCUAUUGAAGUACAAAAUGGCUUCACACUGCAUUUCACUGUUUUGUCCACCACGGCCAAUAUGCUAUUUUGGGGAGGACAAGCAUGAAUCACCUGAGCUACAUAACGCAGGUCUACCCCUAUCCCUAGUGCUACUGUAGCAAUAACAACUUUCAGGGGACUCUCUAUGGGAUCCUUUGCCAAAUUCUUAAAUAUGAUAUCUUUGAGCUGAAAUUCAUUUAUUAUAAUUGAAAUGUAACAUGACUACCCUUAGAUUCUCUGCACAUUUGUGUCCAUCACCACCAUACAUACUGUCUCGAAGGAUUCUCUCGGCAAGUUCAAACCCGUAUCCCACCCAGUCCAUGCUGCCACAGCAGUAAAUCAGUGAACUGUGAGUCAUCAGUAGGUGCUGGGCAACAUUUUUCUGGCCAUCUUUUGACAAAGUAGCACUUAAUCCCAGCACUUGAGCAUCCGGUACAACAGCUCUUAAUUGCUUAAUUUCUCUGAAAACUGGACGGAAUUCCUCCCCCCAGUCUAGAAUACAGUGUGCCUCAUCGACAACAAUAUAUGAUUUCUGUUGACAGGAGCGUAGAGCUUGAUAUACAGCUUUGUUGCCAAUGAUGUUUUCAGGAUGAGAAAAUAUAUAUGUGCAAGUACCUGAUGCAGUUUUGUCAAUAUCACUUUCAUUCAUUUUGUUUUUUAAGCAAAUGCUGGUGUAUUUCGCAAGUUUAUUCAGUUGCUGCUCUAUAAUGAUGUUAAGGACAUUGGCAAGGUUCCUGGUUAUCGUAUAGAAUUUUUCAAGAACUCUUGAGUAGGUUUAAAAGUACUAAAUAGGCUAUAUUCUUGACCUUUUAACCUACCAAUCCAACCUUCUUUUUUAGAUUUUGUGAAAUCGAUGUUUUUACACUUCUCAAUGCAUUUCCUAUGUAAAAUGUUGAUAAAAGGGACCUACAUAAUUUUUCACCAUAAUAUUUUUCCAAAACCCACUUAUUUCAUACAGUUUUUGUAUUAUAUACAUUAUUGUAUCUUCAUUUCCUAUGACUUCUAGAAAUUAUGGCUAAAAAUUAUAUAUCGGAACAAAACAUGGAUAUACCGGCACCGAUCAUUAUUUCUGAGUUGCUUCCCUUAACAGCUAAAAUUGAUCAAGAGACUGGUUGAUUGUUUUUAUCAUGUAGUUGACUUAAUUGAUUGAAACACAUUGUAACAAAAAUAUUGGCAUUGUUUUAUUUUUAUUUUUUAUUCGUAGUUACUAAAUGCUGCUUCCUUCACACGACCUAGCUAAGAACUGUUCUCAGUCGGCCUACCUUUCAGCAUAUGUCACAUAUUUGCCCUUCCCAGCAUACUGAGCACAACUAUCGUAAAUGACGACCUAUUGGCUCUUUGUCCCUGAAUACAAUGUACAACAAAGUCAUUUCUACUUUUCUUUCUUGCUGUAUAGAUGAUUCUACCCGUUGAAGGAAGUAAUCGUGCUUUUGUUUACCUCUGUAACAUACGCUUUAUUGGUUUCCACCGCUUAGAGAAUUCUACACGGGAGAUCACUCUCAAUCACUAUGUUAUAAGUGAAAAAACCCAUGUAUUAAACCUUCUUUCUCCGGAAAACCUUGACUUGCCAAUGUCCUUAAGGAGUUCAAUAAUUAACACAAAAGCAUCCAGCUUAGUUUCUUCUUUGUAAGCUACAUGUAUAGGUAAAAAUUCAUAUAUAAGACUUUUCCUAAAACCGGUCGGCAACAUACAUACCACAUCUGUCUGUUCAUUAAUUUUAUUUACAUUUAUCUUGUGUGUGCUAAUCUAAUGAACAUUAAAAGCUAUUAUACCGAAA